rnacentral:misc_RNA from 1 species
AAAUGCGAUAAGUAAUGUGCAUUGCAGAAUUCAGUGAAUCAUCGAAUCUUUGAACGCACCUUGCGCUCCUUGGUAUUCCUUGGAGCAUGCCUGUUUGAGUAUCAUGAAAUCUUCAAAGUAAAUCUUUUGUUAACUCAAUUGGUUUCUACUUUGGUAUUGGAGGUCUUUGCAGCUUCACACCUGCUCCUCUUUGUUCAUUAGCUGGAUCUCAGUGUUAUGCUUGGUUCCACUCGGCGUGAUAAGUUAUCUAUCGCUGAGGACACUGUAAAAGGUGGCCAAGGUAAAUGCAGAUGAACCGCUUCUAAUAGUCCAUUGACUUGGACAAUACUUUUAUGAUCUGAUCUCAAAUCAGGUAUGACUACCCGCUGAACUUAAGC